UACGGAGGGUGCAAGCGUUACUCGGAUUCACUGGGCGUAAAGGGUGCGUAGGCCGCUAAGUGUGUCAGGUGUGAAAUCUCGGGGCUCAACCUCGAAACUGCGCCUGAAACUACUUAGCUUGAGUUUCGGAGAGGUAAGCGGAAUUUCUGGUGUAGCGGUGGAAUGCGCAGAUAUCAGGAGGAACACCAAUUGCGAAGGCAGCUCACUGGGCCGCUAUCGACGCUGAGGUGCGAAAGUGUGGGGAGCAAACAGG
rnacentral:rRNA from 1 species